AGAGUUUGAUCAUGGCUCAGAACGAACGCUGGCGGCGUGCUUAACACAUGCAAGUCGAGUGCGCGGUUGUAGCAAUACAACUGGCGCACGGCGCACGGGUGCGUAACACGUGGGCAAUCUGCCCUUCGAUGGGGAAUAACUCCGGGAAACCGAAGCUAAUUCCGCAUAACAUUCCUUGGACCUCGGUUCGAGGACUCAAAGCCGUAAGGCGUCGAAGGAGGAGCCCGCGCACGAUUAGCUAGUUGGUAGGGUAACGGCCUACCAAGGCUUUGAUCGUUAGCUGGUCUGAGAGGAUGGCCAGCCACACUGGAACUGAGACACGGUCCAGACUCCUACGGGAGGCAGCAGUGGGGAAUCUUGCACAAUGGGCGAAAGCCUGAUGCAGCGACGCCGCGUGGGGGAUGAAGCAUUUCGGUGUGUAAACCCCUUUCGACCCGGACGAAUGCCUCGCAAGAGGAGUGACGGUACGGGUAUAAGAAGCCCCGGCUAACUACGUGCCAGCAGCCGCGGUAAGACGUAGGGGGCCAGCGUUGUUCGGAAUUACUGGGUGUAAAGGGUUCGUAGGCGGUGUGGCAAGUUGGGAGUGAAAUCUCUGGGCUCAACCCAGAGGCUGCUUCCAAAACUGCUGUGCUUGAGUGUGGGAGAGGCGCGUGGAAUUGCAGGUGUAGCGGUGAAAUGCGUAGAUAUCUGCAGGAACACCCGUGGCGAAAGCGGCGCGCUGGACCACAACUGACGCUGAGGAACGAAAGCUAGGGGAGCAAACAGGAUUAGAUACCCUAGUAGUCC
rnacentral:rRNA from 1 species